rnacentral:rRNA from 1 species
GAUGAACGCUGGCGGCGUGCCUAAUACAUGCAAGUCGAGCGAACAGACGAGGAGCUUGCUCCUCUGAUGUUAGCGGCGGACGGGUGAGUAACACGUGGAUAACCUACCUAUAAGACUGGGAUAACUUCGGGAAACCGGAGCUAAUACCGGAUAACAUGUUGAACCGCAUGAUUCAACAGUGAAAGACGGUCUUGCUGUCACUUAUAGAUGGAUCCGCGCCGCAUUAGCUAGUUGGUAAGGUAACGGCUUACUAAGGCAACGAUGCGUAGCCGACCUGAGAGGGUGAUCGGCCACACUGGAACUGAGACACGGUCCAGACUCCUACGGGAGGCAGCAGUAGGGAAUCUUCCGCAAUGGGCGAAAGCCUGACGGAGCAACGCCGCGUGAGUGAAGAAGGUCUUCGGAUCGUAAAACUCUGUUAUUAGGGAAGAACAAAUGUGUAAGUAACUAUGCACGUCUUGACGGUACCUAAUCAGAAAGCCACGGCUAACUACGUG